GUGCUUCUUCUGGUUUGCAGUAGGAGGCAAAAGCAAAAAGUCUCUGCACUUUUCUAUCUGGUCUUUGUGGUGGCCUAGAGUGAGUAGGGAAACAUAU
rnacentral:snoRNA from 1 species